GAACUUAAGCAUAUCAAUAAGCGGAGGAAAAGAAACCAACUGGGAUUGCCUCAGUAACGGCGAGUGAAGCGGCAUCAGCUCAGAUUUGAAAUCUGGUUCUUUCAGAGCCCGAGUUGUAAUCUGUAGAGGAGUCUUCGGGUUUGGAUCUGGCCUAAGUUUCUUGGAACAGAACGUCAUAGAGGGUGAGAGUCCCGUAUGAGGCCAGCUACCUAUUCCCAUGUGAAGCUUCUUCGACGAGUCGAGUUGUUUGGGAAUGCAGCUCAAAAUGGGUGGUAAAUUUCAUCUAAAGCUAAAUAUUGGCGGGAGACCGAUAGCGCACAAGUAGAGUGAUCGAAAGAUGAAAAGCACUUUGAAAAGAGAGUUAAAAAGUACGUGAAAUUGUUGAAAGGGAAACGCUUGCGAUUAGACUUGCGCUCAGGUGAUCAACCGGUGUUCUCACCGGUGCACUCUCCUGCUUGCAGGCCAGCAUCGGUUUGGGCGGUUGGAUAAAGGCCCUAGGAAUGUAGCUGCCUUCGGGCAGUGUUAUAGCCUAGGGUGUAAUGCAGCCAGCCUGGACCGAGGACCGCGCUUCGGCUAGGAUGCUGGCAUAAUGGUCGUAAGCGACCCGUCUUGAAACACGGACCAAGGAGUCUAACAUCUAUGCGAGUGUUUGGGUGGAAAACCCAAGCGCGUAAUGAAAGUGAACGUAGGUGAGAACCCCUAAGGGUGCAUCAUCGACCGAUCUUGAUGUCUUCGGAUGGAUUUGAGUAAGAGCAUAGCUGUUGGGACCCGAAA
rnacentral:rRNA from 1 species